AGUGGAAUUGCUGGGUUUUAUGCUAACUUUUUUUUAGGUUAAACUUUUGAGUAACUGCCAAACUGUAUUCAAAAGUGGCUGCAUCAUUUUCCAUUCCUAUCAGCAAC
rnacentral:pre_miRNA from 1 species